rnacentral:rRNA from 1 species
CCUACGGGAGGCUGCAGUGGGGGAUAUUGCACAAUGGGGGAAACCCUGAUGCAGCGACGCCGCGUGCGUGAAGAAGUAUUUCGGUAUGUAAAGCUCUAUCAGCAGGGAAGAAAAUGACAGUACCUGACCAAGAAGCCCCGUCUAACUACGUGCCAGCAGCCGCGGUAAUACGUAGGGGGCAAGCGUUAUCCGGAUUUACUGGGUGUAAAGGGAGCGUAGACGGUAGCGCAAGUCUGAAGUGAAAUGCCGGGGCUUAACCCCGGAACUGCUGUGGAAACUGUGCAGCUAGAGUGCAGGAGAGGUAAGUGGAAUUCGUAGUGUAGCGGUGAAAUGCGUAGAUAUUAGGAGGAACACCAGUGGCGAAGGCGGCUUACUGGACUGUAACUGACGUUGAGGCUCGAAAGCGUGGGGAGCAAACAGGAUUAGAUACCCUUGUAGUC